rnacentral:rRNA from 1 species
GACAUCUGACCUCAAAUCAGGUAGGACUACCCGCUGAACUUAAGCAUAUCAAUAAGCGGGAGGAAA